UCCCUGGCGGUCCAGUGGUUAGGAUUCUGCACUUAUAUUGCUGAGGGCCCAGGUUCAAUCCCUGGUCAGGGAA
rnacentral:tRNA from 1 species